rnacentral:rRNA from 1 species
UACGGGAGGCAGCAGUGGGGAAUAUUGCACAAUGGGCGCAAGCCUGAUGCAGCCAUGCCGCGUGUAUGAAAAAGGCCUUCGGGUUGUAAAGUACUUUCAGUCGUGAGGAAGGUGUUAAGGUUAAUAACCUUAGCAAUUGACGUUAGCGACAGAAGAAGCACCGGCUAACUCCGUGCCAGCAGCCGCGGUAAUACGGAGGGUGCGAGCGUUAAUCGGAAUUACUGGGCGUAAAGGGCACGCAGGCGGUUAAUUAAGUUGGAUGUGAAAUCCCCGGGCUUAACCUGGGAAUGGCAUUCAAGACUGGUUAGUUAGAGUCUUGUAGAGGGGGGUAGAAUUCCAUGUGUAGCGGUGAAAUGCGUAGAGAUGUGGAGGAAUACCGGUGGCGAAGGCGGCCCCUGGACAAAGACUGACGCUCAUGUGCGAAAGCGUGGGGAGCAAACAGGGAUUAGAUACC